rnacentral:rRNA from 1 species
UAAACCCCUUCCAGAGUAUCAAUUGGAGGGCAAGUCUGGUGCCAGCAGCCGCGGUAAUUCCAGCUCCAAUAGCGUAUAUUAAACUUGUUGCAGUUAAAAAGCUCGUAGUUGAAUUUCUGCUGUUUCGUUGACUGCGCUUGGCGUUUGUCAUCGUUGCGGCUUGGUUGGGUUUCGAUUAUUCGUUUCCCGGCGUUUACUUUGAGAAAAUUAGAGUGCUUGAAGCAGGCUUUUGCCUUGAAUACUUUAGCAUGGAAUAACAGAGUAGGACUUUGGUUCUAUUUUGUUGGUUUUAGGAGCCAGAGUAAUGGUUAAUAGGAACAGUUGGGGGCAUUCGUAUUUG